rnacentral:rRNA from 1 species
UACGGGGGGAGCAAGCGUUGUUCGGAUUUACUGGGCGUAAAGGGCGCGUAGGCGGUCGUGACAAGUCACUUGUGAAAUCUCCGGGCUUAACUCGGAACGGUCAAGUGAUACUGUCGGACUAGAGUACAGAAGGGGCAACUGGAAUUCUCGGUGUAGCGGUGAAAUGCGUAGAGAUCUGGAGGAAUACCAGAGGCGAAGGCGGCUUGCUGGGGUGGAAUUGACGCUCAGACACGAAAGCAUGGGGAGCGAACGGG